UAGUGAUGCUGAAUGCUUUAUGAGGGAGCUACUCCACAGGACUGAAGAGACUAACAGCUGACAUUUGGAUUAUCAUUUCAUGUUUGCCAAGACCUUUAUAGUCAGGAAAAUGGGAUCUUGGGUCCAUCAAGCUGGAAAGGAACUCAAAGGCUACAAAAUGUAAUCCCAAUAUUUUACAGAUGAGGAAACUGGGGCCUGGGGAGAUUUAGCGCUUUGCCCAACUUCACACAGCUGGUGAAUUAUCUUGUGUCCUGUUUCUUAUACCAAAGAGAAAGAAAUUUAAGUCAUGCUCCCCUGUGCCAAAAUGAGGCCAGGGAAUUAAUUACAUAAGAUGAUGCCAUAACUACAGAUUGAUAAACAGACUGAUAGCCACACGACUUCACAUCAGACAGAAGAGCACAAAGACUGAGGUAAG